UUGGGAAUACAGCUCAAAGUAGGUGGUAAAUUCCAUCUAAAGCUAAAUAUUGGUGCGAGACCGAUAGCGAACAAGUACCGUGAGGGAAAGAUGAAAAGAACUUUGAAAAGAGAGUUAAAGAGUACCUGAAACUGUUGAAAGGGAACCGUAAUCGUUUCCAGUGUUGUAUCCUAUGCAUAUUUCAUUCGCGGAGUAAUUUGCGGGUGCCCUGUGCAUGGGUGUGACGUCAGGGGUCAGUUUGUAUGCUGCGGGAGAUGGUCAGUGAGGAGGUGCGUCACUUCGGUGAAAGUUAUAUCUCGCUGUCUAGUAGCCGUGGUUGAGACUGAGGUGCCUACAACAUGCCUUAAGGUUCCGUGUUGUCUCGUGUUGGUGACUGCUUUGAUAGCUUGCUAUGUCUGUGGUUUAUCAGUGCGAUUGAUGAUGCGGAUAACUUUUGCUGUUCGGGACUCUGGCGAAAUGGAGCGAUACGACCCGUCUUGAAACACGGACCAAGGAGUCUAACAUGUGUGCAAGUAUUAGGGCGUGGAAACCCAAAUGCGUAAUGAAAGUAAAUGCUGCUUAUGCAGCUGUGGUAGGAAAGGGCUGUCAAGGUCCUGGCACUAUCGACCGAUCAUGAGCCUACGGGCAAAAGAUUUGAGUAUGAGCAUAUAUGUUGGUACCCGAAAGAUGGUGAACUAUGCCUGAAUAGGGUGAAGCCAGGGGAAACUCUGGUGGAAGCUCGUAGCGAUUCUGACGUGCAAAUCGAUCGUCAAAUUUGGG
rnacentral:rRNA from 1 species